rnacentral:rRNA from 1 species
ACCUGCCCAUAAGAGGGGGAUAACAUCCGGAAACGGGUGCUAAUACCGCAUAGGUGAUCAUAGCGCACGCUUAGAUCAUUAAAGAUGGCUUCGGCUAUCGCUUAUGGAUGGCCCCGCGGCGUAUUAGCUAGUUGGUGAGGUAAUGGCUCACCAAGGCAUGUGAUACGUAGCCGACCUGAGAGGGUGAUCGGCCACACUGGAACUGAGACACGGUCCAGACUCCUACGGGAGGCAGCAGUAGGGAAUCUUCCACAAUGGGCGAAAGCCUGAUGGAGCAAUACCGCGUGAGUGAAGAAGGUCUUCGGAUCGUAAAGCUCUGUUGUUAGAGAAGAACAAGAGGUGUAGUAACUGGCACCUCCUUGACGGUAUCUAACCAGAAAGUCACGGCUAACUACGUGCCAGCAGCCGCGGUAAUACGUAUGUGACAAGUAUUGUCCGGAUUUAUUGGGCGUAAAGCGAGCGCAGGCGGUCUUUUAAGUCUGAUGUGAAAGCCCACGGCUCAACCGUGGAGGGUCAUUGGAAACUGGAAGACUUGAAUGCAGAAGAGGAAAGUGGAAUUCCAUGUGUAGCGGUGAAAUGCGUAGAUAUAUGGAGGAACACCAGUGGCGAAGGCGACUUUCUGGUCUGUAAUUGACGCUGAGGCUCGAAAGCGUGGGGAGCGAACAGGAUUAGAUACCCUGGUAGUCCACGCCGUAAACGAUGAGUGCUAAGUGUUGGAGGGUUUCCGCCCUUCAGUGCUGGAGCUAACGCAUUAAGCACUCCGCCUGGGGAGUACGGCCGCAAGGCUGAAACUCAAAGGAAUUGACGGGGACCCGCACAAGCGGUGGAGCAUGUGGUUUAAUUCGAAGCAACGCGAAGAACCUUACCAGAUCUUGACAUCCUCUGACCACUCAAGAGAUUGGGCUUUCCCUUCGGGGACAGAGUGACAGGUGGUGCAUGGUUGUCGUCAGCUUGUGUCGUGAGAUGUUGGGUUAAGUCCCGUAACGAGCGCAACCCUUAUUGUUAGUUGCCAGCAUUCAGUUGGGCACUCUAGCGAGACUGCCGGUGAUAAACCGGAGGAAGGCGGGGAUGACGUCAAAUCAUCAUGCCCCUUAUGAUCUGGGCUACCCACGUGCUACAAUGGAUGGUACAACGAGUCGCGAGACCGCGAGGUUCAGCUAAUCUCCUAAAGCCAUUCUCAGUUCGGAUUGCAGGCUGCAACUCCCUUGCAUGAAGCCGGAAUCGCUAGUAAUCGCGGAUCAGAACGCCGCGGUGAAUACGUUCCCGGGUCUUGUACACACCGCCCGUCACACCACGAG